GUUAUUAAUAAUAGUAAAAGUUAAAUUUGUUAUUAUAAUCCUUUAAAGUGGUGUUUCUUAAUUUAGUAGCUGUAUAUGGUAUAGAACACAUAUUACAUAGAACAAUAGCUGAGUACUGUGACCUUCGGUAAAUAUGUAUGAAUGCAUGCAUAUAUGUUGUACUUAUCGGGGAUUUCCCACAAAUUUGGCAUGCCUUUUUAAUGUACUUGACCCCGCUGGCGAUAACUCGGAGAGCACUGAGACGGCAUGAGGAAACCGACCAGGCAGCUGCCUGGAAAAGUGCAGCUCCCGGCGGCAUGUGGCCGUGACUCUGACGAUGUGAGUGUGUGAGUGCUCGUUUCUAGACUUUUCCCUGUGUGUGUGUCACACAUCGAAAGGACGAAGCCUGUAGAGCUAGAGGAUAAGAGCCCAAGCCCAUUCUGCAGCUUGUGCUCGGGUUCUUAUUCUUGCAGCAGCCAACCACUGGUGUAGCGUUGAAAAUCUCAGCAGGAGCCCCACAGAAAAGUGCCUCCUGCAUAAGCGAUUUUCUCUGCUUAUACUGUUGAAAAUGGGUGUGUGCUUCCUUUGAUGUUCGUGUUCUUCUUGGCCCGUUGUUCUUGCCGCUGUCUCCAUACUAUUUAUUUUCACUUGAAAUGCUUUUACUAUUCUUAUGCUCAUGCCACUGAGCUGCCUAAGAAUACACAUAGUAUAUAGCAUACAGUGAAUACAGUGAAUGGAAAAUAAAUUGUCUGUUUUGCUUACUUAAAAGAAAUCGAUAUUGGACGACUGAAUAGCAUAUCCUCGCCCUGUAACAACACAUUCUCGCCUCGGGCACUUUGCAUGUUCAGCUGAUUUAAAAAUA